AAGUGUGCUGUUUCAAUUUGAUCUGCUAUUUUGGGUGAUCUAGUCCCUGUUAGUUCUUGACAGUCCAGGAGGCGCCUGGUGCAUCCCACAGACUCAUUUAAAUGUUCACUGAGUGCUUCGUCUGUGCUGCACGUUGCUCUGCGUGGUGGAGAUAAAUGAGGAGUAGAAGCUGCGCCUGGCCUGAAGGCACCCUGGGUCACUCUUGGGGAAACACGGUGCCCACCGCUGAUGCUCAUCAAGGUUCCGGUCCUGCGGGCAAGCCCCUACCAUGCAGCUGAUCGUGGAUCUGGCCUCUGUGACCGGCUCUAGAAGUUCCCAUGAAUGGACUCUUCCUCCCCUUCUUCCCCUGCCUCUGUGUCUCGUGUCCUUAUAAGAACACCAGUCACGGGAUUCCAGGCUGACCCUCAUCCAGCUCAAUCUCAUCUCCACUCUCAACUAUCUGCAGAGACCUGUUUCCACACAAGCUCACAUCACGAGGCUCUGGGGGGACAUGGAUUUUGGAGGAACACCUCUCAGCCCACUACAGAGCCUUUUAUUACCAUCAAUCAAAUGAAUUUUUCAAAGGCACGUCUGUUAUACAUUUUUUUUCAGUGAGUAUUUUCCGAGAACUUUUUGGGUUCAAAGCACCCAGAUGGUAUAAAUGAUGUGGAAAAUGGCCCUCCCAAAAAGACGCCAUGAGGGAGCUGCACAUGGGGCUGGGGGGAGUCGGAGACAGCACGGGUGAGCGGACGUGUGGCUGGCGCCCAAACCAGACGCCACGUGAUUACAGAUCCUGCAGGGAAUUACAGGAGGCAACUCAACGUAGGAGACUGGUGUCAUACUAACAGAAAGCCAAGACUGAAGAGACAGGAAUGACUGUCCGGGUUUCCCAGACAGGUGGCCACACUGGGCCUGCUAAAAACCGGCCCGUGGGUGUGCUGGAUGCUGGGGACCGUCCCAGGAAGCAGACAACACAGGCCUGCGUGUGGCCCUGGCCGUGAGUCUCCACCUUUCUGUCUCUCUGGGCUGUGGCCGGACAGAAGGGAAGGGGGGAAUCACCUACUUUUGGUCCAG
rnacentral:lncRNA from 1 species